rnacentral:tRNA from 1 species
UCGGGAUAGCUCAGUUGGUAGAGCAGAGGACUGAAAAAUCCUCGUGUCACCAGAAUAC